rnacentral:rRNA from 1 species
UUCCGUAGGUGAACCUGCGGAAGGAUCAUUACC